UUUCCGUAGGUGAACCUGCGGAAGGAUCAUUAAAGAGUAAGGGUCUUCUAGGCCCGACCUCCCAACCCUUUGUUUACCAAACCAUUGUUGCUUCGGCGGGCCCGUCCCAGGACCGCCGGAGGACCGUCAAACGUCCUCUGGCCCGCGCCCGUCGAUGGCCCCUAUCAUUAAACUCUGAACCAAACGUGUCCUGUCUGAGUGAUUAUUAUCAAAAGUUAAAGCAAAACUUUCAACAACGGAUCUCUUGGUUCUG
rnacentral:misc_RNA from 1 species